rnacentral:rRNA from 1 species
UACGAAGGGGGCUAGCGUUGUUCGGAAUUACUGGGCGUAAAGAGCUCGUAGGCGGUUUUGAAAGUCGGGUGUGAAACCUCCAGGCUCAACCUGGAGACGCCACUCGAUACUUCAAUGACUUGAGUUCGGUAGGGGUAAGCGGAAUUCCUGGUGUAGCGGUGAAAUGCGCAGAUAUCAGGAGGAACACCGACGGCGAAGGCAGCUUACUGGGCCGAUACUGACGCUGAGGAGCGAAAGCGUGGGGAGCGAACAGG